rnacentral:lncRNA from 1 species
AGGUCACUUGACAUUAAGACAGGUGCGGCUCAGAGUCUGUCUCCAGGGUGUGUUGCUUAGAAAAAAAGGCCAGGCCGGAAGUGACAGCCUCAUGAACAUGCAAAGGAGGACAUUUGUUUUGUUGGGUAAACAAAUCUGAGGCAUGAAGGUGGUUCAGAGAACUAUGCAAGGACAACAGAGGUCGCCCGACUGAGCAGAGCUUUCUCCGAAGAAGAAGAAGAAGACGUGAGGAGCAUAACUUUGAAACUGA